UCUUUGAUUAAACAUAACCCGAAUUGCAAUCAUUCAGAAAGGGAAAGAAGAAAAUCAGUUUCUUUUCCUGAAAUUUCCCUCAUCGAAAUCGAAACCCUAAAUAUGCCAAAGCGAAUAAAUUGACAAUCGGUAACCCGAUCCCGAAAUCAAGGUCCUUUCCAUCGUUGUUGUCUAUGCAAAGGGCCCAACCCAAGCGGUGAAGAAUCACACCCAUUCCGAAGGACGGACAAUACGAAGGUUGUGAGGAAGAUCUGAACUUUAUAGAAUUCACUGUUGGCUGAAUUGAUGACCAAAAUGGAUAAAGCCACUUUACUUAACAAUUAAGGCCAUCAACUCUCUACAAGGCUGUCAAGUGUGGCUGGAAAAGGGAAAUCCAAUUUGCCCACCUCUUUGCAUUGAAUGCAUGCAUGUACUAAAGUGGCAACCUUAAUUGUUAAGUAAAGUGGUUUUAUCCAUUUUAGUCAACAAUUGUGGCUUUACCGACCAACAUUUCUUUCACUUAAAGUCACUUUUGUUGACCACUUCAUCCUUCCGAUACUUGCCAUUUCUAUGCUACUUAUGUUUCUGCUAGGUCGAUGGAUGAUCGAUACCAUAUGAACUUGUCAAUACUAAUUUGGCUUUGUCAACAUAUCUGCUAGGUUGUCUACUUUAUGGAUUUUCUGUAUAUCCACACUUCUUUCUUCCACCUUCUCUCGAACAAAGGGAUAUUGAACUCGAAUGUGCUUUGUCAUUUGAUGAAAUGUUAAGACUCUUUGCCAAGUGCAAAGUGCUCCGACUAUCAUAAAUUAGAGUAAUCUUCUCUUGUUUGUGUCCAAGCUCCUCCAUUAACAUGUGCAACCAGAUUGUCUCUUUACUAGCUUGUGUAGCUGUCGCGUAUUCUGCCCUUGUUAUAGAAGUAGACACGAUGCACUACAGUUUUGAAACCCAGCUUACAACUCCCCCAACAAGAGUAACAAUAUAACAUGUGGUGGAUUUACUUUUGUCAAGAUCACCUGUAGAAUCUAAAUCAACAUAGACUCUGACAAUAAAGUCCGAUUCUUCGUAACAUAAUGUAGCAUUUGAGGUACUCUUGAUAUAUCGCAGGAUCCUCUUUACAGCACUCCAUGCUCUUUAUCAGGAUUUGCCUUGUAUCGACUAACCGUUCCCACUACUUGUGCAAUGUCCGGUCUUGUACAAAUCAUAGCGAACAUCAAGCUACCCACUACUGAUGCAUACGGUACUCGAGAUAUCUCCUUCCUCUCUGCUUCAUUGCUAGGACUCAUACUUGAAGACAACUUGAAAUUAAUGAAGUGGGGUAGAAAUUGCUUACAAUCUUACACAUUGAAGCGACACGAGAUUUUCUUCAAGUAAUUCUUCUGACUAAGUCGAAUCUUCCUAUUAUUUCUGUCUCAGUAAAUUUGCAUACCUAGAAUCUUGUUUGCUGGUCCCAAGUCCUUCAUUUCAAACUCUCUAGUCAACCGUGCCUUCAAAUCUUUAAUACGAUCUUUGUUGGGGCUUGCUACCAACAUGUCGCCAAUGUACAAUAGCAGAAUAAUGAAAUUAUUAUCUCCAAAUCUCAUGUAGUAUGCACAUGGAUCUGAUCUAAGUCUAUUGUAUUCAAGGCUCAUGGUAAAGGUAUCAAAUCUCUUAUAUCAACAUCUCGGCACCUAUUUGAGACUGUAUAGAGAUUUGUUCAAUGUGCAAACCAAGUUUUCUUUUCUUUUUUCUUCGAGACAUUUUGGUUGGUGCAUAUAAAUCUCUUCUUCAAGUUUUCCAUGAAGAAAUGCAGUUUUCAUAUCCAAUUGCUCUAGGUGUAAGUCAAAUGUAGCACACAUCGCCAAGGCUACUCGAAUUGUUGUGAGUCGUACCACAUGAGAAAAUAUUUCUUUAAAGUCGAUGCCUUCUUUCUGAGCAUAUCCCUUCAUCACCAGUCUCGCACAAUACCGCUCUACUUAAUCAUUGUCAUCUCGUUUGAUCUUGUAGACCCAUUUAUUCCCAAUGGCCUUCAUUUCUUGUGGUAGUGGAACAAUAUCCCAUGUCUUGUUCUUAUUAAGAGCUUCAAUUUCUUCUUACAUUGCUGUUAUCCACAGAGAGACUUCUUGGCUAUUUAUGGUCUCAUGGAAAGUUGAUGGCUCUCCUUCUUUUAUCAAUAAGUAGUAUGCAACAUUGCCUUCCAUAAUGUAAUUUGAGUGCCAAGCUGGUUCUCUUCUCUCCCGUGUUGAUCAUCGAACUUCUGGAGCACUAGACUUAGCUUGUUCUUGUUCUUCGUGUUCUAGUGUUGCUUCAGAAGAGUCUAUAACUUCUCGUUCGUCUUCAACUUCGACUUUAGUAGAUUUUGAUUUUUCUUUUGAUGUGCUAUCAUUUUCUUUUUCCAUUCCCUGCCUUCUACAAAUAUCACAUCUCAGCUGAUUAUUACCUUGUGGGCAGUGGGAUCCCACAAACGGUACCCCUUGACUCCAUCAACAUACCCUAAGAAUGGAUAAAGGCACAAUUGUUGACCAAAAUGGAUAAAGUCACUUUUCUUAACAAUUAAGGUUGUCACUUUACAAUUAAGGUACAUGCAUGCAUUGAAUGCAAAAGAGGUGGGCAAAUUGAAUUUUCCUUUUCCAGCUAAAAUUUGUAGAGAGUUGACAACCAUUUUUCUUGACUUUUUGAAGUGAACAGGGUAGUGGAAUUUCCUUAUAAAUAGAAGGGUAGGAUGAAGAAACAAAAAAAGCCGUGUAGAAAGGAAAAUUUGAAAGAGAAAAAAUUGAGUAGAGAGAAAAAGUUGUGAGUAGAGAGAAAAAAUUAUAGAGAGAAAUUAUUGUUUUCUCCUGAUUAUUUCCUACUUAUUUUCUCCUAUUACAAGAGAGAUUAAUUAUUAUUAUCUCCUUAUAUUUAGAGUGUGUGUUGUAAUUCUCCUACUAUAGUGAAAUCCACAUAUACUUGCCUGUGGACGUAGUCUAAAUUGGGUGAACUACGUAAAUAUUUGUGUCCAUUUUUAACGGCAUUUCUUAAUUCUAUUCUUGUUGUAAAGCCUAAUUUGACUGACACUUCUCUAACAUUCACCACGACUUUGAGUCCAACAAAGACGACAUCAAAUAUGAUAGAAACGUAAGUAGUGAAAUUGAAAUUGGAUCGGGCAGCCAUGACAAUGAAGUAUAGGGAAAACAAGAAGAGGGCAAUGAUAACAAGAAGGAUGAAUUGGAACUACUGUCGUCAAAAGAACUACUCUCCCAAUGUUCAUCCGAUGAGGAUGGGAGUUAUCACUAUCUUGAAUUCACUUUUGAUCCGAACAUGAAAAAUCCUCGGUUCGAGGUAGGGUUAUGCAAUUCUAUUUUUUUGAGUUUAUUUUGUCCAUAUUCUCCUUUCUCAAACCGAGGAAGUGGGUGAAGACAGGCAGGGAUAUGUGUUAUUGAAUGAGGAAGCUUAUUCCACAGAGCUAGUUGGUUUUCCAAAAAAUGCGUUGAGGCGCAGCAGUUGACUGGACAUGUAGGGAAAGACCCCUAUCAAUAUAUUCAUUUCCGCAACAAAGUUUUGAGAGGCAGUCCAAACGUAUGGUGCGUUGAACGGGUACAAUGUAAAGUUUAAGGCAAACUUGGAAAGAAGAGUGCAAGAAAUUUGUAAACUAGACUGCAAUGGAAAACAUGGGCUUCUAAAUUCGAUGCCCCAAAGAGGUUGCUAGUGAAAUCUUACACUUUAGAUCAUACCUAUAGUGGAGACCAAUUUAAUAAACACUGCAAUUACAUAUUUUUGACACGUCGAUAUAUUGAGCAAUUCAAGGCGAACUAGGAUUGGAAGACCAAGCUUAUUUUGGCACGAUUGAAGAAGGAUCUCUGCACAAAUAUUAGCAGAAAUGUGGCAUGGAAGAUGUGGAGAUGUGCAAGAAAAUUUGAUAGAGAUAUCCACGUCCUUUUCUCCGAUUAUUUUAGCAAUGCGCUUCAACAAACCCGAUAACUCAUGAAUUUUCGAUAUAGCGCUUGAUUGACCUUAAAUUGACAUUAUUCAUUUUUCAUCGAGCCACUUGAAAUGAUUGCAAUCGUUCGUACAACAGAAGAAUAGCAUCUCUAACAGCAGUGAUCCUGUCAUUAUAUCCACUGCGCCGUUUCUUCACCUUUCUUUAUUAUACAGAUAUGGCAUUUCUAAGAGCAGUUGCCAUUUAUCUUCUAGUUUUGAAGAAGAAAUAUCUAUUAAGUUCAUUGGUAAGGGAUGACAUGAAUUGCAUCUCAUUUUUUUCUAGUCGGUAAUAUGUUUGAUGGUGUUUAAAGUUUUUUAUGAAAUGAUAUUAUUUGAUUGACAGUUUUUUGAAAAAUAAUUUUUCAGAGUACCAUAUCUUUUACAUCAAGCUCAUUAUUAUCAUUUUAAAAAAUGUAAACUUUGUGCUUUGAAGGUUGUUAAUUAGAAUUUUGUCCUGUUCUUCAA